rnacentral:rRNA from 1 species
UACGGGGGGGGCAAGCGUUGUUCGGAAUUACUGGGCGUAAAGGGCUCGUAGGCGGCCAACUAAGUCAGACGUGAAAUCCCCAGGCUUAACCUGGGAACUGCGUCUGAUACUGGAUGGCUUGAGAUUGGGAGAGGGAUGCGGAAUUCCAGGUGUAGCGGUGAAAUGCGUAGAUAUCUGGAGGAACACCGGUGGCGAAGGCGGCAUCCUGGACCAACACUGACGCUGAGGAGCGAAAGCCAGGGGAGCAAACGGG